CGAUCGCAGCGGUAGUGCUCGAACCCCUCAGAUCGGAGGAGGAGAGCGACUAGGGCGACGUGGCUAGAGUCCAUGGCUUGGAGGGAGAAACCGGUGGCGGAGCAGUCGAAGUUGGCGUCGGUGACCAGCUCGCGGAUCGCCUCCAUCAGCUUCUUCAGGAGACUGCCCUGCACCAACCGGAGCUCCAACAUCUUGUGAGAGUUGAUCGGCG
rnacentral:misc_RNA from 1 species